rnacentral:rRNA from 1 species
GACGAACGCUGGCGGCGUGCCUAAUACAUGCAAGUCGAACGCAGUGGGGACGGGUGAGUAACACGUGGGUAACCUCCCAUCAGAGGGGAUAACACUUGGAAACAGGUGCUAAACCGAUAUUGGUGGAUGGACCCGCGGUGCAUUGGCUAGUUGGUGAGGUAACGGUUCACCAAGGCCACGAUGCAUAGACGGCCUGAGAGGGUGAUCGGCCACACUGGGACUGAGACACGGUCCAGACUCCUACGGGAGGCAGCAGUAGGGAAUCUUCGGCAAUGGACGAAAGUCUGACGCAGCAAUGCCGCGUGAGUGAAGAAGGUGUUCGGGUCGUAAAACUCUGUUGUUAGGGAAGCGGUACCUAACCAGAAAGCCACGGCUAACUACGUGCCAGCAGCCGCGGUAAUUC